rnacentral:lncRNA from 1 species
UUUAAUUGAUAGAACAAUUGAUGCAUACUAAGUUUUGAAAUAUUUUAUCCUUUUAAAGUGAAAAGCUAUCUUGAUUGUAUUUACUUUUUACCCUACAAGAUUAGUUUACACUAAGAUCCUUUCCUAAGCAAUCACAAUAAAGAUAAGAAGACUUAAUAACAAUGUUAGUUUCAUUAUACAAUAUCCAAAGAAAUGGGCUAACAUCGGCAAUAAUAUAAAGUAAGGCGGGGGACUAGACUCUUAUAAUGGGCUGGCAAGCAUCAGGCCCAUUUAAAUCAACUAGCAAUAGGUUUCAACAACAGUAAUGCGGCGAGGAGAGUGGUAGCCCGGUUCAUUGAACUUGGUCCAGAGUUCACAAUGAACUCCACUGGUCGAGUGUGCUCAUGCAAAAGGAGAAGAGGAUUAAUUAGUAUGUGCAUAUAGAAUGUAAAAGCAGAAACAUAAGAGAUGAAUAAAAUUAUAAUCUAAAGUAACAAAGCAAGUCAAAUAAUAUUUGUGAUAAACCUCUAGAUAUUAGUUUAAGUCAAUAUCCAUUGUCUAGAUUGGACCACGCUCCCCUCUCAAGGUUUUUCUUUGACUCCUGGCACUUUCUAGUUCACAAAAGGCCCACAAUAUUUAUUCCAGGGAGGGACUCCUUGUAGUAGAGUCAAAUCCACAGCAAAGGCCAAUAGUAACUAAUAUUUGUUCCUCCGUGAAGGUUUGAACACAAAUAUCAACUUUGAGCUUCAAACAAUAGUUUGACCAAAUAGACUCAAAGAAUUCUUACAAGUAAACUUCUAAAACAUUGAGAGUCUAGCACAGUGCCUCAAAUCAUCAAUAGAAAAUCACUUGUGACUGAGUACCAAGACAUUAGAAACUUGAAAUCUAAAUGAACCUAAACCAGCUUUAGGGCAGUUGUAAGGCUCCGUAAAAAUUUACAAAAGAAAAUAAUAUUUUGGGUUGAACAAUGCACUGGAAAGGAAAGAAAAAAUUUGGGCAGAAGAAAUGCACUUCUGCGGCCCACUAUGCGAUCGCGGAAUCACUCUGCGGACCGCAUAAUGGUCGCAGAGUGAGGCAGGGAAGGGCAAUUUUGGAGACCAGGUUUGCAGCGCAUUAUGCAACCACAGACCAAUUCUGCGGUGCAUUAUUCGACCGCAGAACAGGUCUGCGAGCCGCAUAAUUACCGCAGACCAGGUCAGUCACGCCCAGUUUUGGAGGCAAAACUAUGCGGACCGCAUAUCAAUUAUGCGAUCGCAGACCUUGUUCCGUAGCUUCAUUUUUGUAUUUUUAAAACCCGACCCUACUUCGUUAAAUACACGCUUUGGGCUAUUUUUGAGAUAAAAUCUGACACUUUUAAAGUUAGAGAGUGCCCUAGAGUGAGAAGGUGUUCUUCAACAGUUUGUUUUUCAAUUCUUGCUCGAAUCUUGGAAGAUUAACAAGGAAAAACUCCCUAGGUCUUCAUCCUAAAGGUAAUAUUCUACACCCUAACCCUCAAUUUCGAAUUUUAUCUAGAAUUUGGUUAUUAGCAAGAUAAUUUUGGGCUUGGGAGUUGUCCAUCUUACAUGUAUGUAUUAUCAAAGGGUGUAGGAAGAUUGUGAAGCUAAAAACGGUAAAUAAUGGGUUGUGGUAUGAUAGAAUCCUCUAUAAAAGGACCUUGAAACCUUAAUGCACACCUAGUGUUUUAUAAACUACUCAAAUGAGCUAGAAACAAGAUCAUCUUCCUAUUUUUUGAUCAAUUUGUUAUAUUUCUACAUUAGAUUAAAGUUUCAAAGAAUUACGGAACCUUUUAGAGUUUAAGGAAGUUCAACUGAGGUAUGUUGACUAAACCUUUCUCUUAGAAUUGAAUCCCACGAUAUUCAUGUAAUCUAUGUAAGUCCCGAGUGGUUCAUUAUGAAAUUGGCUAUUCCUAGUAAGAUUGUGUUAAAAGUUAUAUGUUUAAUAAGUACCCCAAAUACCUUAUUUAUGGUACGUUAUCAAUUGAGGAUGUGAUAAUAAUAUUAGCUGGACAUUAAAAAUGUUCGACUUGAAGUCAAAUUCAAACGAAGGCUAUUAUGCCAAAUUUUGUGAAGAAUCUCUAUUUGCCUUAGACUCUUAAUUGCUCACAUGUGUACUACAUGCCUUUAUUUGGAUUGUUGUUUUUGUUAUUGAUGAUGUUGAUGUUAGAAAGUGAAAAGGUGAGCAUGGAAUACUAAAUGCGGCCAACGUGCCAAGAAUGAUUUUAUAAAUAUGGCCAUUAGUGCCAAUGAAAUGAAAAUAUGUGAAAGAACUAUGAAAUGCGAUGAUUGAUAUAAAAAGGUUGAUGUCUCGAAUAAGACAGCCUAGACGAUCAGGUCGUGAUCGGACACCAUGACGCACACAUGGUGAUGAUUGUGCUUGAAAUUCUGAUUUGUGGUCGAUGUCUCCAAUGAGAUAGCCUAGCCGAUCGGGUCGUCAUCAGAUUCCGUGUUAAAGGUACGAUGGUAUUGAUAUUGAGGGUGAUUGUGGUUGAUGUCUCGAAUGAGAUAGCCUAGCCGAUCGGGUCGUGAUGGGACUCCGUGCUAAGAGUACAAUGUUAUUGGUUUUGUGAAUAAUGGUAUUGUGAACGAUGAUAUAUUUGUACUAAGAAUCUCCAACUUAAAAAAAUAUGGAAAUUAAUUUGAAUACAGUCUUGAUCCUAAGUUGAGGUUUGAUGCUUUUUAAGGCUUCCAUUGAUAUUAUGAUAUUCUUAUUUGUUUUAUUUAUCAUUCUAUUCAGAGGGUGUUUUGUCAUUCAUACUAGUACUAUUCCAUAUGUACUAAUGUCCCUUUUUCCGAUGGUGCUGCAUCUUCAAUGGAUGCAGGUGGUUCCACAUCUAGUGAUAUUGAUCAGUGAUAGCGGUACAUCCUCUUCCCAGCUGACUUGGUGAGCCCCACUUCAUUUCGGGGUUAUGUAUCUUUUGUUCGUCGCGUAUUGUGUUUGAGGUAUAGCCGGGCCUUGUUGCCGACAUUAUCAUAGUACUCUUUUGUAUAUAUCAAAGGCUCCGUAGACUGUGAGUUGUGUACUGGUGUUGGGAAAGUCAAACUAUAUGGUGUUGUGGUUGUAUUACUUGUUCUAUUUAAGAAUUUAAAAUAAUGGAACUAUUGGUAAUAAAUUGGUAUUGUAGACAUGAGCAUCUUAUUGUCUAAUUAACAAAAAUGUGCAUCCUAUUUAUUAAUGGAUGAGUUUGCUCGGCCGGGUUCACUCGGUUGAGCGUCGGUCGCGCUCUAUAGUUUUGAGGCGUGACAAACUUGGCAUCGGAGCCUAAUGUUUUAAAGUGUCCUAGGAUAUCUUGGAGCCGUGUCUAGUAGAGUCUUUCUUAUCGGUAUGUUGUCGACCACAUCUAUAAUUAGGAUGAUACUUGGGGAUUUACGAAUAAUACCCUUCUUUCAUUUUCUUGAUCGUGCGAUAAACCUGGAUGUAAGAUUGUUCCUAUUUUAACUCGAGCUUUACUUUAACUUUCUAUAUAUUGCACCUAAGAAGAAGGCAAGAAUUGGCCAAAGAGCCAAUGUCACCCUAGGAGUAACAGUUGAUUCUAUAUAUGGUGAUGCGGGUGAGAAGCCAAGGAGUGAGAAUAUUCCUCCAGUUACUACACUACAUGAUUCUACUACAAGUGAUCAGACCGCACCUAUCCCUACACCUACUAAGGGUACAACGGUCCCUCUAACUGAUAUACCAAUUCCACCUCCAGUUCCAGCUUCUGAUUCUGGUGUUUCUGAUGUUGAUCUUCCAGGAGCCAUACAUAUGUUGUCUCUGAUAGUGGCUGCCCAAGCCUAGAGAUCAAAUGUUACACCUACUUCUUCCAGUCAACCAGGGGAUUCUACUAGUUCAAGGGUGAACAAGUUUCUCCAGUUGGAUCCUCCAAUGUUCGCGGGUACUAACCCAGAGGAGGAUCCAUAGGACUUCAUUGAUGAGACGCACAAGACUCUCUGAGUUAUGCAUGCUAUUGAGAUAGAUGAAUUGGAAUUAUCCUCCUACUACCUUAAAGAGGUGGCAUAUUCUUGGUUUGAACUAUGGGUGGAGUCCCGUGAAGAAGGGAACCCUCCGACGAGGUGGGGUGAGUUUGCCAAUGCAUUCAUUGAUCAUUUAUUUCCUACCAAGACUAAGGCAACAUGUGCUGCUGUGUUUGAGAACCUGAGGCACGAUUGCCUGAGUGUGUGGGAUUACCACAUAAGAUUCCGGUACCUAUCCAAGUAUGCUAUUUACAUGUUUCCUACUAUGGAGGCUAGAGUGCGACGAUUUGUUCACAGCCUUAGUCCCUUAGUAAUUAAUGAGGCCACUACAACUGCCUUGAAUUAUAAUAUGAACUAUGGAAAGAUGGUGGCAUUCGCUCAAGCCACCGAGAUCUGCAAAUUGAGGAACAUAAUGGAGACAGAGUGUAGUAAUCAGGCCUGGUUUGCGGGAAACUUUGGUGGUUCUUCUGGUGGCGGAAGGUCAGCCUUUAGGGGAGGGUCAUCAGCGCCAUCACAGUACCUUGCUCAGUCUUAGGCUAGUGCACUUCCAUAAGGGCCCAGUCAACAGCAGGGUCAUCAUGGUGGUAGUUUCCAGCAGCAGAGGAGGCCCUCGUGCCCUAGGAAUAGAAAGAUGCACCUAGUAAUAUUCUACAUGGACUUACCCAUAUGCUACAUAUGCAGAUUGAGGGGUCACAUUCAUAGGAAUUAUCGUUCGUCCCGCCAUGGGGCAGGCAGGGGCACUGCACAUCCAGCCAGUUCUGCAGCUACUACAUCCGUAAUACCUCCUCCAACUCAAGGCACUCAAAUACCUGCUGGGCUUGGUGGAGCUAGGGGUGGGGCACAAAGUUGGGGAGGAUCUGACCAUUUCUUUGCUAUAAGGGGUCGCCAGAAUUCAGAGGCUUCUCCAGAUGUGGUGAUAGGUAUAUUGACUGUCCAAUCUCAGAUGUGUAUGAUCUUAUUGAUCUAGGUUAUACUUUUUCAUAUGUCACACCUUAUGUUACUAUGGAAUUUGGGAUAGAACAGGAACAACUUCAAGAGUCAUUAUAUGCAUCUACUCCGGUUGGUGAGUUUAAUUUGGCCGCACAAGUUUAUAGGGAUUGUAUUAUCACGUUGCGUUGUCGGGACACCGUAGUUGAUCUUAUUGAAUUGAGAAUGGUCUAUUUUUAUGUGAUAAUGGGAAUGGAUUGGAUUUAUUCAUGUUUGACCAAACUUGAUUUCCGAAACAAAACUGUUAGGUUCAAAUUUCCAAAUGAGCCAGUUAUUGAAUGGAAGGGUGAUGAUGUAGUGUUGAAGGGUAGGUUUAUUUCUUACCUUAAGGCCACGAAAAGGAUCAACAAGGGGUGUAUUUACCAUUUGGUUUGGGUUUUGGACACCGAUUUUGAGGCACCUACACUUAAGUCAGUUCUUAUUGUGAAUGAAUUUUUGCAAGUCUUUCCGGAUAAACUCCAUGAAAUCCCACCUGACAGUGAGAUUGAUUUUGGGAUUGACGUGAUGCCAGACAUGCAUCCUAUAUCUAUUCCACCCUACCGAAUGGCACCAUUAAAAUUUAAGGAGCUAAAUGAACAAUUAAGAGACUUGUUAGAAAAGGGUUUCAUCCGACCGAGUGUGUCACCUUGGGGCGCACUGAUGAUUUCUGUAAGGAAGAAAGAUUUGUCACUGAGAAUGUGUAUUGGUUAUCAAUAACUUAAGAAGGUCACAAUCAAGAAUAAGUACUCACUGCCAAGGAUAAAUGACUUGUUUGACCAAUUACAAGGUGAUAAGUACUUGUCCAAAAUUGAUUUACGAUCCAGAUAUCAUCAAUUGAAGACCAGAGAGACACAUGUUCCGAAAAUGGCUUUUAGAACCAGGUAUGGGCAUUUUGAAUUUUUGGUGAUGUCUUUUGGGCUAACAAAUGCCCCAGUGGCAUUUAUGGAUCUUAUGAAUCGGGUAUUCAAACCUUUCCUCAACUCCUUCAUGAUAGUGUUCAUUGAUGAUAUUCUUGUUUGUUCGCGGAGUCAAGAGGACCAUGCCGAUCAUAUCAUGGUAGUUUUGUAGACUCUGUAUCAGCAGUUUUGAAAUGUGAAUUUUGGCUUGAAUUUGUUAUAUUAUUGGGUCAUGUUGUCUUUAGAGAAGGAAUUAUUGUUGUUCCUCAAAAUAUUGCAGUUGUGAAGAAUUGGCCGAGGCUUACAACUCCAACAGAGAUUCGCAGUUUCUUAGGCUUAGCUGGGUAUUACAGAAAAUUUAUGGAGGGUUUUUCUAUCCUUACCUCUCCGUUGACUAAAUUGACGCAGAAGGUAAUUAAGUUCCAAUGGUCAGAUGCUUGUGAAAGGAGCUUCGAGGAGUUGAAAUUGAGAUUGACUAUGGCACCAGUGUUGGAUCUACUAGACGAUAUUGAUGGAUUUGUAGUAAAUUGUGAUGCUUCGAGAAUCAGACUUGGGUGUGUAUUAUUGCAACACGACAAGGUGAUAGCUUAUGCUUCCAGGCAACUCAAGAAUCAUGAAAAGAACUAUCCAGCACAUGACUUAGAACUUGUGGCGGUAGUAUUUGUAUUGAAAAUUUUGCUUCAUUAUUUAUAGGGGGUCCAUGUGGAUAUAUUCACGGACCAUAAGAUCCUUCAAUAUAUUGUCAAGCAGAAGGAAUUGAAUUUGAGGCAAUGAAUAUGGCUUGAGUUACAUAAGGACUAUGACAUUGAUAUUCUAUAUCAUCCGAGGAAGGCUAAUGUUGUGGCAGAUACUCUUAGCUAGAAUUCUAUGGGUAGUUUAGCACACUUGGAGGUAUAUCAACGGUCAUUGGCCGAGGAAGUUUACCGAUUGGAUAGUUUGGGGGUUAGUCUUGCGGACUCUAGUGAAGGAGGGGUAAUUGUGCAAAAUAGGGCUGAAUCAUCGCUUGUUGUGGAAGUCAAAGAGAAGAAAUACAACGAUCCAUUAUUGGUGCAAUUGAAAGAGGUGAUUCAUAAACAUAAGACCAUGGCCUUUUCUCUUGGCAUGGGUCAUGGUACACUAAGAUACCAAGGGAGUCUAUGUGUUCCAAAUAUAGAUGGUCUCCGAGAGAAAAUCAUGAUAGAGGCUCACACUUCUAGGUAUUCUAUGCAUCCGGGUUCUACAAAUAUGUAUCAUGAUCUUAAAGAAGUCUAUUGGUGGAAUGAUAUGAANNNNNNNNNNNNNNNNNNNNNNNNNAAGAAGAUGAUUGUGUGUUCUUGAAUGUUUUACCCAUGAAAGAUAUAAUGUGAUUUGGUAAGAAAGGGAAAUUGAGUCCGAGGUAUGCCAGGCCGUACAGAAUCAUUCAGAGGAUCGGUGAGGUAGUGUACAAGCUUGAGCUACCACCGGAUAUAUCAUUGGUACACCCGGUGUUUCAUGUGUCUAUGUUGAAGAAAGUAAUUGGAGUCCCAACACUCAUUGUUCCGGUUGAGACUAUGGAUAUUAAUGAGGAAUUAACUUAUGAAGCGAUUCGAGUUUAUAUUAUUGAUAGGCAAGUCCAUAAGUUGAGAAAUAAGGAAAUUACCUCGGUGAAUGUGAUAUGGAGAAACCACCAAGUUGAAAAGGCUACUUGGGAGGCCGAGGAAGAAAUGAAGAAAAAGUAUACUUAUUUGUUUGAAUAGACAUGUAUUUAUAAUCUUGUGAUCUAUGAAAAUUCUAAGAGUUACUUUCUAUGAAUUAUGUAUCAUUUGUACAAAUUGACGUUAAGGGUGUUCCUUUUUGGUAAUAUAUUGCUUGUGAGGCCACAAUUGGUGUUGUUUUGUGUUAUGUUACAUCGUUGGAUUCUGUAUAUGUUGUUAGGAUGUGUUUUGGGAUUAUUUGACAUGUGGAUAGGCCCAGUUACAGGGGAGACUCUAGCGAAUGUUUUGGAAAUUUAGGGAGUUAGCCAAAUUUUGAAACUACUGGUGAGCGUGAAUUAACAGUUAGGCCACAUUUGAUGCUAAUAAUAGAUUGUGACCCUCAUUCGAUGACAAAUGAUCCUAAGUGGGGGAGAAUGUAAGGCCCCGUAAAAAUUUGAAAAAGAAAAUAAUAUUUUAUGGGGCUGGACUAGGCUUACGUGUUUGAGGAUUGUAGAGGAAAAAUGCACUGGAAAGUAAAGGAAAUAUUUGGGCAGAAGAAAUGCACUUCUGCAUGCGGCAGUGAUGGGCAAUUAUGAGACCAGGUUUGCAGUGCAUUAUGCGACUGCACACCAAUUCUGCGGUGCAUUAUGCGACUGCAGAACAGGUCUGCGGACCACAUAAUGACCGCAGACCAGGUCAGUCAUGCCUAGUUUUGGAUGCCAAAUUAUGCGGCCGAUAGGCGAACCGCAUAUCAAUAUUGCGAUCCCAUAUGCGAUCACAAACCUUGUUCCGUAGCUUCAUUUUUGUAUUUUUAAAACCCGACCCUACUUCGUUAAAUACACGCUUUGGGCUAUUUUUGAGAAAAAAUCUGACACUUUUAAAGUUAGAGAGUGCCCUAGAGUGAGAAGGUGUUCUUCAACAGUUUGUUUUUCAAUUCUUGCUCGAAUCUUGGAAGAUUAACAAGGAAAAACUCCCUAGGUCUUCAUCCUAAAGGUAAUAUUCUACACCCUAACCCUCAAUUUCGAAUUUUGUCUAGAAUUUGGUUAUUAGCAAGAUAAUUUUGGGCUUGGGAGUUGUCCAUCUUACAUGUAUGUAUUAUCAAAGGGUGUAGGAAGAUUGUGAAGCUAAAAACGGUAAACAAUGGGUUGUGGUAUGAUAGAAUCCUCUAUAAAAGGACCUUGAAACCUUAAUGCACACCUAGUGUUUUAUAAACUACUCAAAUGAGCUAGAAACAAGAUCAUCUUCCUAUUUUUUGAUCAAUUUGUUAUAUUUCUACAUUAGAUUAAAGUUUCAAAGAAUUACGGAACCUUUUAGAGUUUAAGGAAGUUCAACUGAGGUAUGUUGACUAAACCUUUCUCUUAGAAUUGAAUCCCACGAUAUUCAUGUAAUCUAUGUAAGUCCCGAGUGGUUCAUUAUGAAAUUGGCUAUUCCUAGUAAGAUUGUGUUAAAAGUUAUAUGUUUAAUAAGUACCCCAAAUACCUUAUUUAUGGUACGUUAUCAAUUGAGGAUAUGAUAAUAAUAUUAGCUGGACAUUAAAAAUGUUCGACUUGAAGUCAAAUUCAAACGAAGGCUAUUAUGCCAAAUUUUGUGAAGAAUCUCUAUUUGCCUUAGACUCUUAAUUGCUCACAUGUGUACUACAUGCCUUUAUUUGGAUUGUUGUUUUUGUUAUUGAUGAUGUUGAUGUUAGAAAGUGAAAAGGUGAGCAUGGAAUACUAAAUGCGGCCAACGUGCCAUGAAUGAUUUUAUAAAUAUGGCCAUUAGUGCCAAUGAAAUGAAAAUAUGUGAAAGAACUAUGAAAUGCGAUGAUUGAUAUAAAAAGGUUGAUGUCUCGAAUAAGACAGCCUAGCCGAUCAGGUCGUGAUCGAAUACCAUGCCGCACACAUGGUGGUGAUUGUCUUGAAAUUAUGAUUUGUGGUCGUGUAUCCAAUGAGAUAGCCUAGCCUAGUCAAUCGGAUCGUGAUCAGAUUCCAUGUUAAAUGUAUGGUGCUAUUGAUAUUGAGGGUGAUUGUGGUUGAUGUCUUUAAUGCUAUAUCCUAGUCGAUCGGAUCAUGAUCGGACUCCGUGCUUUGAGUACAGUGGUAUUGUUAUUGUGAAUAAUUGUAUUUGAACGAUGGUAUAUCAAUAAUAAGAAUCUUCAACUUAAAAAUAUGGAAAUUAAUUUGAAUACUAUCUUGAUCCUAAAAUUGAGGUUUGAUGUUGUUUAAGGCUUCGAUUGAUAUUAUGAUAUUCUUGUUUGUUUUAUUUAUCAUUCUAUUGAGAGGGUAUUUUGUCAGUCAUACUAGUACUAUUCCAUAUGUACUAACGUCCUUUUUGAAGGGGCAGCUGCCUCUUCAAUAGAUGCAGGUGGUUCCACAGCAGGAGAUAUUGAUUAGUGCUAGUGGUACGUCCUCUUCCCAGCUGAGUUGGUGAGCCCCACUUCAUUUCGGGAUUAUGUAUCUUUUGUUCCCCACGUAUUGUUUUUGAGGUAUAGCCGAGGCCUUGUUGCCGCCAUUAUCAUAGUACUCUUUUGUAUCUAUUAGAGACCCCAUAGACAUAGUGUGAGUUGUGUAUUGGUGUUGGAAAAGUCAAACUAUGUGGUGUUGUGGUUGUAUUACUUGGUCUAUUUAAGAAUUUAAAAUGAUGGAACUAUUGGUAAUAAAUUGGUAUUGUAGACAUGAACAUCUUAUUGUCUAAUUAACAAAAAUGUGUAUCCUAUUUAUUCAUGGAUGAGUUUGGAUAGAAGAAAAUCUAAUAGGCUUGGUCUGUCGGGUUCACGCGGUUGAUCGCCGGUCGCGCUCCCCGAUUUUGGCGCGUGAUAGCAGUCACUUAGAAAGCUAAAAAAUACAUAAAUCAGAAGAAUGAUAAAACUUCACAGCAUAUCCAGUAGUCUAGGCUAAGUAUUGUAAAGCUUACAAUUAGUUUCACAUGAAUCAUGCUACGGAGAAUAAGGAAAUGCUAAUAGAACAAGACAUGGUGAACUUCAUCAGAUUGUUUUUCACUUAAACAAAUAAAACCUUAUAGGUAUAGUAUCUAUAGAAACAAGACAAUCUUGUGACAAUAUGGAAUACCAUAUAUAGCUAAUAUAAACAAAGCAAACAAGUGAGUUUAAAUCAACAGAGGUUUAACAAAAACAGAACAAGACUAGUGUUAACGUCAUGAACUAUAACAUUGUAAGUAGACAAAUCUCAUAACAUGCUUCAUAUCCUAUUCAUGAUACAAGGUAUGAAAACACGAAUGUCAACAUGAACUUUCAUCAGUAUAUAUCCAAAUGGUCGAGUAUUAAAAAACACUAUCAGUGUCACACACUCAAAUUCAGACAUUGAGCUGAACGAAAAGGAAUUAAAAUAACCAUCCUUAGGACAACUUACCAGUUUUUUAUUUUUCCGUUAAGGAUUUGUACCCGGAGUCAGCUCAAGAACAAUUAGCCUCGAUUAGAAAUUAAAGAAAAAAAGGAUGGAAAGAUUGUGAGCGGAUAGAAAUUUUAAUUUUCUCGUGUAGUGAAUUUACUCUAUUGAUUUGUGUGUUUGUUAAGGGCAUUAAAGCUUGGUAUUUAUAGCCAAGUAAUUAGUGUUUUAGGGUUUGAGAUUUUGAACUUUUAUGACUAAUUAGUGACGAACUUUGACGAAACAUUUCAUGACGAAAUCUUCAGAAUAAAAUGAAUAAUCAGAGGGAAUAAUAUGUGAAGAUUUUACCCUCUAAAGAUGAUGAAGAACUAGCCGUUUGAAGUCGUUUAACCUCCGUACAAAAAUUUUCCUAGAGGUCCUUGCGUUUGACCUCCAUACCAUCAGAUGUCAUACAGAGGUCAUGAGAUUCCUCCGAAUCUUCUUGAAUCGAAGAUGCAUGCAAGGUUUUAUUGAGGGAUCAGGCGUGAAUGAAAGUUUGAUGAUGAGAUUCUUAGGGUUUAUUUUUUGGGGAUAGUGUUUAGGUGUUUGGAAUUUGAAGGGAGAUGAUAGAAAGGGGAAUGUUUUGGUAGUGAUCUCAUAGUGACCUUGCACGGAUUUAUGCUAGGGUUCAGGUAUUUCCAGAGGUGUGAGAGGAUGAGAGAGAUGAGAGAAAAAGGUUAAGGGGCGGCUGGUAUGGUGGAUAUA